rnacentral:rRNA from 1 species
UACGUAGGGGGCGAGCGUUGUCCGGAGUUACUGGGCGUAAAGGGCAUGUAGGCGGUGCGGCGCGUUUCGCGUGACAGCGCAGGGCUUCACUCUGCGAGGGUGCGAAAGACGGCAGCACUUGAGGGCCAGAGAGGGACACGGAAUUCCGGGUGGAGUGGUGAAAUGCGUAGAGAUCCGGAGGAACACCGAAGGCGAAGGCAGUGUCCUGGCUGGUGCCUGACGCUGAGAGGCGAAAGCCAGGGGAGCGAACGGG